rnacentral:ncRNA from 1 species
GCGCAGCCCUGAAUUCUUUGGGGCCACUUCGAGUAAUCGAGGUUGAGAAAAAUUGGGUGAAUUCGGGGAACAUUCCGCGAUACGGAACAAUCCCGAGCCAAGCUGGGAGGGACAUAGAUUUCCCAGAAGGUGUAGAGACUAGCAAGUGAGUUCCAACAAUAAUCUUGCAUAAGCGCCCAGCUCCUGUCGUUUUUACGAAAGGAUGAUGAUAUAGUCCAAUUCAGCUUCGGAAGAGGCUG